GUGUGUGUGUGUGUGUGUGUGUGUGUGUGUGUGUGUGUGUGUGUGUGUGUGUGUGUGUGUGUGUGUGUGUGUGUGUGUGUGUGUGUGUGUGUGGCAUGAGUGAGAAGCAAAUUUAAAUGGAAGUGCGCCACAUCUGAGGCUCUGCUGCAAGUCAUUUACUUGGGAUAUCUACAUAAUCAUCGAUUCAAAGUCAUCACAGACACAAUCAUUUAUAGUUUCCUCAUGAUCCAAACCUUCACUCUGCAGUUAAGAGUCCAAAUACUCCACUUUGUCCUCCUGUCAUUCACCCCGAAUGCUAAAAAGACCAGCUGACACUCUUCUUCUUUAUCCUCUCCCAGAUGUCACUGUAACUGGGGAAAAAAAAAAAAAAAAUCAACUCAUCUGCUAAUCCUCUGAUUGUCAUCAGCAGGGUGUAUGUACACGCCACUGAUACCACGCAACAACCCUUUUAAGAUUCUCCAGUCCUGCAAAAUAACUCUGCACAGACUCAGUUACAGAGAGGACACCGACUUGCGCCAAAAUAUCCCCGCACUUGGAAAGCCGUCGCCAAGCCAACAGGACAAAACGAUGACCCAGAAUCAACGAAGAGGAGAAUGUCAGAUCAUUUCUUUUUGCCUUUUUUUUGUUGGAUUAUUUAUUUGCUUUGUGAUGCUGAAA